UUUGUUUUUGUAUUUUUUUUUUUCUUUUGUACAAGCUAGAGAUAACUGGUUUUAACAUAUGGUUCAAUCUUGAUUUGGAUAAUUUCAUUUGGUUUGGUUCAUUUCUCAUAU
rnacentral:sRNA from 1 species